ensembl:lncRNA
CGACAGCUGGACUUGGCGGCUGGCCCUGGCUGCUGGCCCUUUCCAAAUCCGAGGCUCGCGCCUUCCUCCGGUGGGCAGAAAGAGGAAACCCAAGUUAGGGGGCUUGCCUAAGAUUAUUUUAAAAUGUAAUCAGUGGCAUGCCUCGGAGAGAAAACUGACCUGGCUUUCUAAAUUCACCACCUCUGAAGCUAUUUCAUUUCAGCUCUGCAUUAAACCAAAGUCACCCUGAGCACUAUUAAGGAAACAGCCACAGCACCAAGCUCUGGAGAGCCUGUCUGAUUUCAGUGGAAAGAAGAAGACACACUGGCAUUCAGCUGUCCCCUAACCUGCUGGGGCCCAAGCUGUCUGAAAAGAUA